UGAGAUGCUAGCUCAGUCGGUAGAGCAACGCCCUUUUAAGGCGUGGGUCGAAGGUUCGAUUCCUUCGCAUCUCAA
rnacentral:tRNA from 1 species